rnacentral:rRNA from 1 species
GGUUAAGCGACUAAGCGUACACGGUGGAUGCCCUGGCAGUCAGAGGCGAUGAAGGACGUGCUAAUCUGCGAAAAGCGUCGGUAAGGUGAUAUGAACCGUUAUAACCGGCGAUGUCCGAAUGGGGAAACCCAGUGCAAUUCGUUGCACUAUCGUUAACUGAAUACAUAGGUUAACGAGGCGAACCGGGGGAACUGAAACAUCUAAGUACCCCGAGGAAAAGAAAUCAACCGAGAUUCCCCCAGUAGCGGCGAGCGAACGGGGAGCAGCCCAGAGUCUGAAUCAGCUUGUGUGUUAGUGGAACGGUCUGGAAAGUCCGACGGUACAGGGUGAUAGUCCCGUACACCAAAAUGCACAGGUUGUGAACUCGAAGAGUAGGGCGGGACACGUGGUAUCCUGUCUGAAUAUGGGGGGACCAUCCUCCAAGGCUAAAUACUCCUGACUGACCGAUAGUGAACCAGUACCGUGAGGGAAAGGCGAAAAGAACCCCGGCGAGGGGAGUGAAAAAGAACCUGAAACCGUGUACGUACAAGCAGUGGGAGCACCUUCGGGUGUGACUGCGUACCUUUUGUAUAAUGGGUCAGCGACUUAUAUUCUGUAGCAAGGUUAACCGUAUAGGGGAGCCGCAGGGAAACCGAGUCUUAACUGGGCGUUAAGUUGCAGGGUAUAGACCCGAAACCCGGUGAUCUAGCCAUGGGCAGGUUGAAGGUUGGGUAACACUAACUGGAGGACCGAACCGACUAAUGUUGAAAAAUUAGCGGAUGACUUGUGGCUGGGGGUGAAAGGCCAAUCAAACCGGGAGAUAGCUGGUUCUCCCCGAAAGCUAUUUAGGUAGCGCCUCGUGAAUUCAUCUUCGGGGGUAGAGCACUGUUUCGGCUAGGGGGUCAUCCCGACUUACCAACCCGAUGCAAACUACGAAUACCGAAGAAUGUUAUCACGGGAGACACACGGCGGGUGCUAACGUCCGUCGUGAAGAGGGAAACAACCCAGACCGCCAGCUAAGGUCCCAAAGUCAUGGUUAAGUGGGAAACGAUGUGGGAAGGCACAGACAGCCAGGAUGUUGGCUUAGAAGCAGCCAUCAUUUAAAGAAAGCGUAAUAGCUCACUGGUCGAGUCGGCCUGCGCGGAAGAUGUAACGGGGCUAAACCAUGCACCGAAGCUGCGGCAGCGACACUAUGUGUUGUUGGGUAGGGGAGCGUUCUGUAAGCCUGCGAAGGUGACCUGUGAGGGUUGCUGGAGGUAUCAGAAGUGCGAAUGCUGACAUAAGUAACGAUAAAGCGGGUGAAAAGCCCGCUCGCCGGAAGACCAAGGGUUCCUGUCCAACGUUAAUCGGGGCAGGGUGAGUCGACCCCUAAGGCGAGGCCGAAAGGCGUAGUCGAUGGGAAACAGGUUAAUAUUCCUGUACUUGGUGUUACUGCGAAGGGGGGACGGAGAAGGCUAUGUUAGCCGGGCGACGGUUGUCCCGGUUUAAGCAUGUAGGCUGGUUGUCCAGGCAAAUCCGGAUAAUCAAGGCUGAGGUGUGAUGACGAGGCACUACGGUGCUGAAGUAACAAAUGCCCUGCUUCCAGGAAAAGCCUCUAAGCAUCAGGUAACAUUAAAUCGUACCCCAAACCGACACAGGUGGUCAGGUAGAGAAUACCAAGGCGCUUGAGAGAACUCGGGUGAAGGAACUAGGCAAAAUGGUGCCGUAACUUCGGGAGAAGGCACGCUGGUGUGUAGGUGAAGUCCCUGCGGAUGGAGCUGAGACCAGUCGAAGAUACCAGCUGGCUGCAACUGUUUAUUAAAAACACAGCACUGUGCAAACACGAAAGUGGACGUAUACGGUGUGACGCCUGCCCGGUGCCGGAAGGUUAAUUGAUGGGGUUAUCCGUAAGGAGAAGCUCUUGAUCGAAGCCCCGGUAAACGGCGGCCGUAACUAUAACGGUCCUAAGGUAGCGAAAUUCCUUGUCGGGUAAGUUCCGACCUGCACGAAUGGCGUAAUGAUGGCCAGGCUGUCUCCACCCGAGACUCAGUGAAAUUGAACUCGCUGUGAAGAUGCAGUGUACCCGCGGCAAGACGGAAAGACCCCGUGAACCUUUACUAUAGCUUGACACUGAACAUUGAGCCUUGAUGUGUAGGAUAGGUGGGAGGCUUUGAAGCGUGGACGCCAGUCUGCGUGGAGCCAACCUUGAAAUACCACCCUUUAAUGUUUGAUGUUCUAACGUUGGCCCCUUAUCGGGGUUGCGGACAGUGUCUGGUGGGUAGUUUGACUGGGGCGGUCUCCUCCCAAAGCGUAACGGAGGAGCACGAAGGUUAGCUAAUCCUGGUCGGACAUCAGGAGGUUAGUGCAAUGGCAUAAGCUAGCUUGACUGCGAGCGUGACGGCGCGAGCAGGUGCGAAAGCAGGUCAUAGUGAUCCGGUGGUUCUGAAUGGAAGGGCCAUCGCUCAACGGAUAAAAGGUACUCCGGGGAUAACAGGCUGAUACCGCCCAAGAGUUCAUAUCGACGGCGGUGUUUGGCACCUCGAUGUCGGCUCAUCACAUCCUGGGGCUGAAGUAGGUCCCAAGGGUAUGGCUGUUCGCCAUUUAAAGUGGUACGCGAGCUGGGUUUAGAACGUCGUGAGACAGUUCGGUCCCUAUCUGCCGUGGGCGCUGGAGAAUUGAGGGGGGCUGCUCCUAGUACGAGAGGACCGGAGUGGACGCAUCACUGGUGUUCGGGUUGUCAUGCCAAUGGCACUGCCCGGUAGCUAAAUGCGGAAGAGAUAAGUGCUGAAAGCAUCUAAGCACGAAACUUGCCCCGAGAUGAGUUCUCCCUGAGACUUUAAGUCUCCUGAAGGAACGUUGAAGACGACGACGUUGAUAGGCCGGGUGUGUAAGCGCAGCGAUGCGUUGAGCUAACCGGUACUAAUGAACCGUGAGGCUUAACCUU